rnacentral:tRNA from 1 species
AGCGCAAUGGUGUAAUGGUAACACAACGGCCUUUGACGCCGUUGUUGUGGGUUCGAGUCCCGCUUGCGCCGCCA